GACCGUGCAAAGGUAGCAUAAUCAUUUGCCUUAUAAUUGAAGGCUAGUAUGAAUGGUUUGACGAGAAUUAAGCUGUCUCUUUUCAAUUAAAUAUAAUUUUAUAUGCAGGUGAAGAAGCCUGCAUCCUAUUGAAAGACAAGAAGACCCUAUCGAGCUUUAAAGAAUUUAUAAGACCUACUAAGUAUUUAUAAACAAAUAGGACUAAUAAAAACUUUGGUUGGGGCGACUGAGGAACAAAUAAAGCUUCCUUUAUACUGUAGAAACUUACUGGUAUUGAUCCAAUAUAUUUGAUUAAAGGAAUUAGUUACCGUAGGGAUAACAGCAUAAUCCCUUUUGAGAGUUCUUAUCGAAAAGGGGGUUUGUGACCUCGAUGUUGGACCAGAAUACCCAGAAGAUGCAGCCGUCUUCAAUGGUUGGUCUGUUCGACCAUUAAAAUUCUACGUGAUCUG
rnacentral:rRNA from 1 species